UUACCGUAGGUGAACCUGCGGAAGGAUCAUUAUUGGAUUUUGAAACUUCAGGCUGCUGCUGGCUCUCCUCGGAGGGCAUGUGCACGCUUGUUGUCCAUUAUUUCUCCCACUGUGCACAAAUUGUAGACCUUUCAGUAGGCCUAUGUUGUUUUUCACAAUCUCUGAAUGUAAUAGAAUGGUUUUGAAUCUUGGGAAAUACAAUACAACUUUCAGCAACGGAUCUCUUGGCUCUC
rnacentral:misc_RNA from 1 species